GAUGAACGCUGGCGGCGUGCCUAAUACAUGCAAGUCGAGCGAACGGACGAGAAGCUUGCUUCUCUGAUGUUAGCGGCGGACGGGUGAGUAACACGUGGAUAACCUACCUAUAAGACUGGGAUAACUUCGGGAAACCGGAGCUAAUACCGGAUAAUAUUUUGAACCGCAUGGUUCAAAAGUGAAAGGCGGUCUUGCUGUCACUUAUAGAUGGAUCCGCGCUGCAUUAGCUAGUUGGUAAGGUAACGGCUUACCAAGGCAACGAUGCAUAGCCGACCUGAGAGCGGGAGAGGCAAAACGGGAACGGGUAGAGGGGCCAGAGUACGACGGGAGGAAGCAGUAGGGACUCUGCCGGAAUGGGCGAAAGCCUGACGGAGCAGCGUUGAGUGAGUGAUGAAGGUUUACGGAUCGUAAAACUCUGUUAGUAAGGAAGAACAAAUGUGUAAGUAACUAUGCACGUCUUGACGGUACCUAAUCAGAAAGCCACGGCUAACUACGUG
rnacentral:rRNA from 1 species